GACGAACGCUGGCGGCGUGCCUAAUACAUGCAAGUUGAGCGCUGAAGGUUGGUACUUGUACCAACUGGAUGAGCAGCGAACGGGUGAGUAACGCGUGGGGAAUCUGCCUUUGAGCGGGGGACAACAUUUGGAAACGAAUGCUAAUACCGCAUAAAAACUUUAAACACAAGUUUUAAGUUUGAAAGAUGCAAUUGCAUCACUCAAAGAUGAUCCCGCGUUGUAUUAGCUAGUUGGUGAGGUAAAGGCUCACCAAGGCGAUGAUACAUAGCCGACCUGAGAGGGGGAUAGGCCACAUUGGGACUGAGACACGGCCCAAACUCCUACGGGAGGCAGCAGUAGGGAAUCUUCGGCAAUGGACGAAAGUCUGACCGAGCAACGCCGCGUGAGUGAAGAAGGUUGUCGGAUCGUAAAACUCUGUUGGUAGAGAAGAACGUUGGUGAGAGUGGAAAGCUCAUCAAGUGACGGUAACUACCCAGAAAGGGACGGCUAACUACGUG
rnacentral:rRNA from 1 species